GCGUCAUUUGUACCUUCAAGCUUUGCUUGGUGUCGGGUGUUUGUCUUGCCUUGCGUGUAGACUCGCCUUAAAACAAUUGGCAGCCGGCGUAUUGAUUUCGGAGCGCAGUACAUCUCGCGCUUUGUCUCAUAACGACGACGUCCAAAAGUACAUUUUACACUCUUGACCUCGGAUCAGGUAGGGAUACCCGCUGAACUUAA
rnacentral:misc_RNA from 1 species